rnacentral:rRNA from 1 species
CUCCCUCCUGACACUGAUCAUAGAUUACCUGAUCUUGUCUGAUCUCCAAAGCUAAGCAGGGUCGGGCCUGGUUGGUAUUUUGAUGGGAGAUCAUAGAUUGCUCCCCCAGGAGAGAGC